rnacentral:tRNA from 1 species
GGUGGAGCUCAGUGGUAGAGUGCUUGCCUAGCAUGGGCAGGUCCUGGGUUCAAUCCCCAGCACCA